AAUAUUUGACCAUGGGCGAAAGCCUGAUCCAGCCAUGCCGCGUGUGUGAAGAAGGUCUUCGGGUUGUAAAGCACUUUUAGUUGGGAGGAAGGGCAGUAAGAUAAUACCUUGCUGUUUUGACGAUCCCGGCACAAUAAGCACCGGCUAACUUCGUGUCGCCAGCGUCGGCAAUACGAACGGGGCAAACGUUAAUCGGAAUUACUGGGCGUAAAGAGGGCGUAGGUGGUUUGUUAAGUUGGAAGUGAAAGCCCCGGGCUCAACCUGGGAACCGCUUUCAAAACUGGCAAGCUAGAGUAUGGCAGAGGGUGGUGGAAUUUCCUGUGUAGCGGUGAAAUGCGUAGAUAUAGGAAGAAACACCAGUGGCGAAGGCGACCACCUGGGCUAAUACUGACACUGAGGUGCGAAAGCGUGGGGAGCAAACA
rnacentral:rRNA from 1 species